rnacentral:sRNA from 1 species
UUAUUUUAUGCAACUCAUAAACUUUAUUUCAAAUUGCAUGCAUAACAUCAGCAGAACGAAGCUGAGAAAAACCAAUUACCUCAACUGGAAAUCAAAUAAACUCAAAGUGUAUAGUGUGUGCAGAAAACGAAACUUAAUAAUUCCAGAAAAAGAGAGAUGGAAGGAGGUGUGCAUUAACUUACUUCGACCAAUCGAUGCCAUGACUGAAAGAAUUUCAAAAAGGAAAAAAUAAAUAGAAAAAUUUUUGUACGUGUUGUGAAAAGGAUUGCCAGGCGAUACAGAAUGAAAGGUAUAUGGAGAGACAGAUGGAUAGUUAGGAAAAUAGAGGCUGUGUGGCUGGUUGAAGGUAACAAAAUCAAAUGGUAGUAUUCCUAAAUGAAUUGGGUUGUUCUAAUGAAUGCGCCGAGUUCGCCCCGAUUCUAACGUUAAGAUUCUAGGAUUUCUGCUAGUGAUUAAACAUUGCUGAAAAGUU